UCACAGAGAGAAAGAAGUAAAGGUGUAACAAGUGGGUUUUUUUUUUAUAAUUUUAUUUAUUCAUGAGAGACACACAGAGAGAGAGAGAGAGAGAGGCAGAGACACAGGCAGAGGGAGAAGCAGGGUCCAUGCAGGGAGCCCCACGUGGGACUCCAUCCCGGGUCUCCAGGAUCACGCUCUUGGCUAAAGGGGGCACUAAACCGCUGAGCCACCCGGGCUGCCCUAACAAGUUGGUUUGAGGAGAGCUGCUUCUUUCCACAGACAAGCAUAGAAACUUGGCAAAUAGAGGGAAGCUCAGUCUGCGUUGCCAUGUCAACCGAAAGCAGAGCUGACUUUUCAGCAUCACACACUAAUCGUUCCGGUUUAUGGACUGGCAGGGCCCUAGAAGACCAUUUUCACCCACUGGAAAGUCUCCUUGGGUAUGGUACUCAUCACAAUCAACAGCCGGCAGGGCUGGUACGCGGAGCAAACUCCAUUCUGCUCAGAAUGAAAGAAUCCAGCACCCUGAAACAGAACAUCCUUUUCAGAGCCAGAUGCUCAAACAUAAAGGCAAAGAACAAAGGCUGUGAAGGAGGAGGAGUGCUUGCUUGCUAGGAUCUCUAAAUAAAACCAGGCCUGAAGAGAAAAGGGCUUGUGAU
rnacentral:lncRNA from 1 species